rnacentral:rRNA from 1 species
UUUAUGGAGAGUUUGAUCCUGGCUCAGGAUGAACGCUGGCGGCGUGCCUAAUACAUGCAAGUCGAGCGAACGGACGAGAAGCUUGCUUCUCUGAUGUUAGCGGCGGACGGGUGAGUAACACGUGGAUAACCUACCUAUAAGACUGGGAUAACUUCGGGAAACCGGAGCUAAU